UCCACUACUCAGUUGGUAGAGUACAAAGAUCUUAACAUUGUGGAUGUGGGUUCAAGCCCCACGGUGGAG
rnacentral:tRNA from 1 species